rnacentral:rRNA from 1 species
GAUAAACGCUGGCGGCGUGCCUUAUGCAUGCAAGUCGAACGGUCUCGAUUUAUCGAGAUAGUGGCGAACGGGUGAGUAACGCGUAAGUAACCUGCCCCUAAGUAAGGGAUAACUCUGAGAAAUUAGAGCUAAUACCGUAGUGGUGGUGGAGGUAAUGCUUCAUCACUAAAGCUUUAGGGCGCUUAGGGAGGGACUUGCGUCCGAUUAGCUAGUUGGUAGGGUAAUGGUCUACCAAGGCGAUGAUCGGUAGCUGGUUUGAGAGGACAUCCAGCCACACUGGGAUUGAGAUACGGCCCAGACUCCUACGGGAGGCAGCAGCAAGGAAUUUUGUGCAAUGGGCGAAAGCCUGACACAGCGACGCCGUGUGGGGGAUGAAGGCCUUCGGGUUGUAAACCCCUUUUCUCAGGGAAGAAUAAUGACGGUACCUGAGGAAUAAGUCGUGGCUAACUACGUGCCAGCAGCCGCGGUAAUACGUAGGCGGCAAGCGUUAUCCGGAUUUAUUGGGCGUAAAGAGGGCGUAGGCGGUUUCUCAAGUCGAUUGUAAAAUCUCCCGGCUUAACUGGGAGGGGCCAGUCGAUACUGUUAGACUAGAGGGCAGCAGGGGGAGGUGGAAUUCCCGGUGUAGUGGUGAAAUGUGUAGAUAUCGGGAGGAACACCAGUGGCGAAGGCGGCCUCCUAGGCUGUUUCUAACGCUGAGGUCCGAAAGCGUGGGGAGCAAACAGGAUCAGAUACCCUGGUAGUCCACGCUGUAAUCGAUGGACACUAGGUAUAGGGAGUAUCGACCCUCUCUGUGCCGAAGCUAACGCAUUAAGUGUCCCGCCUGGGGACACGGCCGCAAGGCU